GCCAGCAGUCAUAACACUCUGAAACUCACAUUUGGCAACCCACUGACACUAGGCAGGAGUGAGCCCAGUCAGUACAUGGAUGGGAGACCUCCUGGGAAAAACUAAGGUUGUUGCUGGAA
rnacentral:rRNA from 1 species